GACGAACGCUGGCGGCGUGCUUAACACAUGCAAGUCGAACGGAGUGGCGAGCGGGUGAGUAACACGUGGGUGACCUACCCUGCACUUCGGGAUAAGCCUGGGAAACUGGGGCUAAUACCGGCUAGUGGGGGAUGGGCGCGCGGCCGAUCCGCUGGUGGGGGGGGUAUUGGCCUACCAAGGCGGCGAGGGGUAGCCGGCCUGAGAGGGUGGAACGCCCCAUUGUGACACAGACGCGAGCCGUACUCCGACGGGAGGAAUCGGUGAGGGAUUUUGGACGAUAGGCGGCGGCCUGGAUGAGGGACGCCGCGUUGGAGAUGACGGCCUUCGGGUUGUAAACUCCUUUCUGCGUCGCCGCGGUAGAUGGAUAAGAAGCCACGGCUAACUACGUGCCAGCAGCCGCGGUAAUUC
rnacentral:rRNA from 1 species